AAGCUUUCGCGGUAUGGGAUGGGGUCGCGUCCCAUCAGCUUGACGGCGGGGUAACGGCCCACCGUGGCUUCGACGGGUAGCCGGCCUGAGAGGGCGACCGGCCACAUUGGGACUGAGAUACGGCCCAGACUCCUACGGGAGGCAGCAGUGGGGAACAUUGCACAAUGGGCGCAAGCCUGAUGCAGCGACGCCGCGUGAGGGAUGGAGGCCUUCGGGUUGUAAACCUCUUUUAUCGGGGAGCAAGCGAGAGUGAGUUUACCCGUUGAAUAAGCACCGGCUAACUACGUGCCAGCAGCCGCGGUAAUACGUAGGGUGCAAGCGUUAUCCGGAAUUAUUGGGCGUAAAGGGCUCGUAGGCGGUUCGUCGCGUCCGGUGUGAAAGUCCAUCGCUUAACGGUGGAUCCGCGCCGGGUACGGGCGGGCUUGAGUGCGGUAGGGGAGACUGGAAUUCCCGGUGUAACGGUGG
rnacentral:rRNA from 1 species